rnacentral:misc_RNA from 1 species
GGGCGUCUACCUAUCAUGGAGAAGACUACAGGAUACCAGUGUAACUCAGCUUAUUUUCCAAAAACUGGUUGCGAGAGGUGUGCUGUUAGAAAAGCCACACAGCUCGACAGUCACAGUACAGUGAUCAAGAUUAGUGACAGUGCGGCAGAGGGUUGGCGGUGUGUGUGUGACUGUGUGCGAGCGUGUCUGUCCAGCUGCAGAAAGUGUGAGGACAAGAUGCGACUCUUCACCACCAAAGAACACCCUAAUGGCCUUAAGGUCAUGGUGGCGAGUAAGCUGUCCGGGCGGCAGGUGGAGGUGACGCAUGUACCUGAUAUAUUGGAGGGAGCAGCACUGGAGGUGAGUGAGGCUGGGGUGACAUUCCAUCUUCAGGCCAACAGUGCCGUAUUGUACUUCCUCCAUAAGACUGACCAGGGGGGCAGCAGUGAUGGCAACAAUGAUGCUGAGGCGUGGCUGGAAUGGGAGUCAAGUCAGCUUCAGCCAGUUUUGGUGCCGUAUCUGCUGUCUGUGGCAGGAGGGCGGGAGGAUAAGGAACUGAGGGCAGCCCUGCAAUCCCUGCUGACCACACUCACCACCUCACACUCUCUCAACACCAAGGAAGUGAAUGCAGCAACAGUGGUGUUGUUUUGCUCACUGGUGCCCCUGCAGAGUGAAGUGGUCAGUGCCAGCCUCUUGAAGGAACAGCCAAAUCUAUUGGCAUACCUCACCAGCCUCAGGGAGGUGCCCUCCAUUAAAGAAUGUGUAGCCUCAUGGUGGAAUGGUGGCAGCAGUACUCUGAAGAAUUGGGUAGGUUGUGUUGCACCACCAUCUUCUCCUUCCCACUCUACCUUGGCACUCCUCAAGGGCUCACCACCUGCCACCCCUGGCCGGGCAGCUCCUGCCACCCCUGCUGACCAGAGCAAACCAGUGCGAGCAACAGUUUCACCAGAAGCAGUGAAGGAAGCUGAACAGUGGUGGCAACAGCCGUCCAAGGCCUGUCCUGCCCCAAGGAACUGGAGUUCUCCUAUCUUGCCUGUCAAGGGAGAGAGCAACAUCCUGGUGACUUCUGCAUUGCCGUAUGUCAACAAUGUGCCUCACCUUGGGAAUAUCAUUGGCUGUGUGUUGUCCUCAGACUGCUUUGCCAGGUUCUGCCGGCUGCGUGGUGACAACAUCCUCUUUGUGAGUGGGACGGAUGAGUAUGGCACAGCAACAGAGACCAAGGCCAUUGCUGAGGGGCUCACCCCUCAGCAAAUUUGUGAUAAAUACAAUGCCAUCCAUUCUGAUGUUUACCAGUGGUUCAACAUAUCCUUUGAUUACUUUGGGCGAACCACAACAGAGCAGCAGACACAGAUUGCCCAGGACAUUUUCAACAAGCUGGACAGGAACAAGUACAUCUGCCAGGAGUCGGUGGAGCAGCUAUACUGUGCUAAAUGUCAACGGUUUUUGGCUGAUAGAUUUGUGGAAGGGACGUGCCCCCAUCCAGGCUGUGGGUAUGAAGAUGCACGAGGAGACCAAUGUGAUGGUUGCAGUAAGUUGGUCAAUGCCAUGGAGCUGGUGCGGCCAAGGUGCAAACUUUGCUCUAGCACUCCUGAGGUAAGAUCCUCUAAUCAUCUCUUCCUUGAUCUUCCCUCCAUUGAACCAAAAUUGAAGACUUGGCUACCUAACUCUGCCCCACAGUGGACUUCCAAUGCCCAAGUCAUCUGUGAUUCCUGGGUCAAGGAUGGCCUCAAGCAGCGUUGCAUCACACGAGACCUUAAAUGGGGCACUCCAGUCCCUAAGGAUAACUUCAGAGAGAAAGUCUUCUAUGUGUGGUUUGAUGCCCCCAUUGGAUACAUCAGUAUGACUGCCUGCUACACAGACCAGUGGCAGCAGUGGUGGCUCAACCCUGACCAGGUGAAGUACUACCAAUUCAUGGCCAAGGACAAUGUUCCUUUCCACAGUGUGGUAUUCCCAUCCACUCUGCUGGGGACAGGGCAAAACUGGACCAAGGUGACCCAUCUUGUGGCCACAGAGUACCUCAACUAUGAGGAUACCAAGUUCUCCAAAAGUCGUGGUAUUGGUGUGUUUGGUGACCAGGCAGCCUCCACCGGCAUUCCUAGUGAUGUAUGGCGAUUCUAUCUCCUGUAUCUUCGUCCUGAGGCCCAGGACACGUCAUUCUCCUGGGUUGACCUGCAGACCAAAAACAACAGUGAACUGCUCAACAACCUUGGCAAUUUUGUCCAUCGAGCAUUGACCUUUGUUUUCAAGUUCUUUGGAGGAGCUAUUCCUGCUGUUAAUCCUUCCAAUCAGGACUUUGAGGUGAUGGCAGCUAUUAACAAAGAACUGAGGCAGUACACCUCAUCACUUGCCUGCAACCACCAGCGUGAUGGGUUGCGGGCAGUGCUGUCCAUUGCCAGAAUUGGAAAUCAGUACAUUCAGGACCAGGAGCCAUUCAAAUUAGUGAAACCUAACCGGCCACCAGAGGACAGGGAGCGUGGGGCUACGGUGACGGCCAUAGCAGCAAACAUUGUGGCACUGGUGGCCAUUGUCGUGGAGCCGUUUAUGCCAGAGACAUCAGGUCGUAUUAAGGACCUCCUUGGUAACCCACCACAGCUCAAGUACCUCCCUCAGGCCUUUACUCAGUUCCUAGCAAGUGGUCAUGUCAUCAAAGAACCUCAGCCUCUCAUUACACAGCUGGACACUGAACUCAUAGAGAGGUUAAGUAAACAGUUUGGGGGUGAGACCAAAGCUCCAGCUGCAGCAAAGAAAGAGGUCAACCCUGCAGAGGUAGCUCAGCUCCAGGCACAGAUUGAGGCUCAGGGUAACAAGGUACGUCAGAUGAAAGCAGGAGGAACAGCAAGCAAAGCAGAGGUGGCAGCAGAGGUGGCCAUACUAAUCAGCCUCAAGGGACAGCUGGCCACUGCACAAGGGGUUGAGGCAACUCCAACAGGUGAUAAAGACAAGAAGAAAAGCAAAAAAGGAGGUGGAGGAGGAAAGGAGAGUACAAAACAAUCUCCUGCUACUGCCAGUGCAUCUGCUCAGUCACCUUCAAAUACUCCAGUUAAUGAAGCAGAAGUGAACAGGUUACAGGCUCUUGUCACACAGCAGGGUGAUAAGGUUCGUGGUCUGAAGACCAGCGGUGCAUCCAAGGAAGCCGUGGCCCCAGAGGUUGCUGUCUUGCUGGACCUGAAGCAGCAGUUGGCUGCUGCUCAAGGGAUUGACCCAGCCACCCUCUCUGGGAAAGACAAGAAGAAGAAAAACAGGCGUGAUGGCAAUGUAGGCUGUUCCUGUGCUCUGUGAUGUAAGCACGGAGGUUAUGUCGUGAAUCCCGCUGUCACUGAGUGACAGACAUAAUGCAGCUUUGGAUGUCAGACAACGCUGGGUCAAGCAGCUCUCCCCUUUAGUGGAUCUGGAAGAUGACGUGAUUGAAGAGGCCCAACACUGCCACUAAAUCAUAGUAUGUUUGCUGCUCCACAAGGAAAUUUAAAUCCCCAUGAUGAAGACAUUCUUGAGGACAUUCUUGCAGCCAUGAGUUCAGAGCAAAUUCUCUAGUUCCACCACCAGCAAGUAGUGUGAUGAAUAUGUGAAAUGUGUGUGUGAACUAAAACAAAAUGUAAAAUUGUAAUUAGCAUCUCUGAAUAGUGUAAUAAACCAGCUACAAGACCAAGCAAGAUGCAAGUGGCAUGAAACCUCAAUAAAUGUUUUGUAAAAAGAAA